rnacentral:rRNA from 1 species
UACGUAGGGUGCAAGCGUUAAUCGGAAUUACUGGGCGUAAAGCGUGCGCAGGCGGUUUUGUAAGUCUGACGUGAAAUCCCCGGGCUCAACCUGGGAAUUGCGUUGGAGACUGCAAGGCUAGAAUCUGGCAGAAGGGGGUAGAAUUUCACGUGUAGCAGUGAAAUGCGUAGAGAUGUGGAGGAAUACCGAUGGCGAAGGCAGCCCCCUGGGAUAACACUGACGCUCAUGCACGAAAGCGU